UAACGCGUGAGGAACCUGCCUUCCAGAGGGGGACAACAGUUGGAAACGACUGCUAAUACCGCAUGAUACGUUGGAGCCGCAUGACUCCGACGUCAAAGAUUUAUCGCUGGAAGAUGGCCUCGCGUCUGAUUAGCUAGUUGGUGAGGUAACGGCCCACCAAGGCGACGAUCAGUAGCCGGACUGAGAGGUUGGCCGGCCACAUUGGGACUGAGAUACGGCCCAGACUCCUACGGGAGGCAGCAG
rnacentral:rRNA from 1 species